rnacentral:rRNA from 1 species
AGCGAACGCUGGCGGCAGGCCUAACACAUGCAUGUCGAACGAACUCUUCGGAGUUAGUGGCGGACGGGUGAGUAACACGUGGGAACGUGCCUUUAGGUUCGGAAUAACUCAGGGAAACUUGUGCUAAUACCGAAUGUGCCCUUCGGGGGAAAGAUUUAUCGCCUUUAGAGCGGCCCGCGUCUGAUUAGCUAGUUGGUGAGGUAAAGGCUCACCAAGGCGACGAUCAGUAGCUGGUCUGAGAGGAUGAUCAGCCACAUUGGGACUGAGACACGGCCCAAACUCCUACGGGAGGCAGCAGUGGGGAAUCUUGCGCAAUGGGCGAAAGCCUGACGCAGCCAUGCCGCGUGAAUGAUGAAGGUCUUAGGAUUGUAAAAUUCUUUCACCGGGGACGAUAAUGACGGUACCCGGAGAAGAAGCCCCGGCUAACUUCGUG